UCCAGACUCCUACGGGAGGCAGCAGUGGGGGAUAUUGCACAAUGGGGGAAACCCUGAUGCAGCGACGCCGCGUGAGUGAAGAAGUAUUUCGGUAUGUAAAGCUCUAUCAGCAGGGAAGAAAAAAGACGGUACCUGACUAAGAAGCCCCGGCUAACUACGUGCCAGCAGCCGCGGUAAUACGUAGGGGGCAAGCGUUAUCCGGAUUUACUGGGUGUAAAGGGAGCGUAGACGGCAAUACAAGUCGGAAGUGAAAUACCCGGGCUUAACCUGGGAACUGCUUUGGAAACUGUAUGGCUGGAGUGCUGGAGAGGUAAGCGGAAUUCCUAGUGUAGCGGUGAAAUGCGUAGAUAUUAGGAGGAACACCAGUGGCGAAGGCGGCUUACUGGACAGUAACUGACGUUGAGGCUCGAAAGCGUGGGGAGCAAACAGGAUUAGAUACCCCUGUAA
rnacentral:rRNA from 1 species